UACGUAGGUGGCAAGCGUUGUCCGGAUUUACUGGGCGUAAAGAGCGCGCAGGCGGUCAGAUAAGUCGAAUGUGAAAGCCCCCGGCUCAACUGGGGAGGGUCAUUCGAUACUGUUCGACUCGAAGGCAGGAGAGGGAAGUGGAAUUCCCGGUGUAGUGGUGAAAUGCGUAGAUAUCAGGAGGAACACCGGUGGCGAAGGCGGGACUCUGGGCCGAUACUGACGCUGAGGAGCGAAAGCGUGGGGAGCAAACAGG
rnacentral:rRNA from 1 species